rnacentral:rRNA from 1 species
AAUUAGUGGCAGAAGGGUGAGUAAUGCAUAGGAAUCUACCUAGUAGUAUAGGAUAGCCACUAGAAGUGGUGGGUAAUACUGUAUAAUCCCUGCGGGGGAAAGAUUUAUCGCUACAUGAUGAGCCUAUGUUAGAUUAGCUAGUUGGUGGGGUAAUGGCCUACCAAGGCAGUGAUCUAUAGCUGGUCUGAGAGGAUGAUCAGCCACACUGGAACUGAGACACGGUCCAGACUCCUACGGGAGGCAGCAGUGGGGAAUAUUGGACAAUGGGCGCAAGCCUGAUCCAGCUAUGCCGCGUGAGUGAGGAAGGCCUUAGGGUUGUAAAACUCUUUCAGUGGGGAAGAUAAUGACGGUACCCACAGAAGAAGUCCCGGCAAACUCCGUGCCAGCAGCCGCGGUAAUACGGAGGGGGCAAGCGUUGUUCGGAAUUAUUGGGCGUAAAGGGCAUGUAGGUGGUUUGGUAAGUUAAAGGUGAAAUGCCAGGGCUUAACCCUGGAGCUGCUUUUAAUACUGC